rnacentral:rRNA from 1 species
CCUACGGGAGGCAGCAGUGAGGAAUAUUGGUCAAUGGACGAGAGUCUGAACCAGCCAAGUAGCGUGAAGGAUGACUGCCCUAUGGGUUGUAAACUUCUUUUAUCAAGGAAUAAAACGAGGCACGUGUGCCUUUUUGCAUGUACUUUAUGAAUAAGGAUCGGCUAACUCCGUGCCAGCAGCCGCGGUAAUACGGAGGAUCCGAGCGUUAUCCGGAUUUAUUGGGUUUAAAGGGAGCGUAGAUGGGUUGUUAAGUCAGUUGUGAAAGUUUGCGGCGCAACCGUAAAAUUGCAAUUGAUACUGGCGGUCUUGAGGACAGUUGAGGUAGGCGGAAUUCGUGGUGUAGCGGUGAAAUGCAUAGAUAUCACGAAGAACCCCGAUUGCGAAGGCAGCUUACUAACCUGUGACUGACAUUGAUGCACGAAAGUGUGGGUAUCAAACAGGAUUAGAUACCCUUGUAGUC